rnacentral:rRNA from 1 species
GACGAACCGUGCGAACGUUAUUCGGAAUCACUGGGCUUAAAGCGCGUGUAGGCGGCCCGGCGCGUCGGAUGCUGAAAUCCCCCGGCUCAACCGGGGAAGGGACGCCGAUACGGCCGGGCUGGAGGGGGGUAGGGGGCGCUGGAACUCACGGUGGAGCGGUGAAAUGCGUUGAGAUCGUGAGGAACGCCCGCGGCGAAAGCGAGCGCCUGGACCCUUUCUGACGCUGAGACGCGAAAGCCAGGGGAGCGAACGGG